AGAGUUUGAUCCUGGCUCAGGACGAACGCUGGCGGCGUGCCUAAUACAUGCAAGUCGAACGAACUCUGGUAUUGAUUGGUGCUUGCAUCAUGAUUUACAUUUGAGUGAGUGGCGAACUGGUGAGUAACACGUGGGAAACCUGCCCAGAAGCGGGGGAUAACACCUGGAAACAGAUGCUAAUACCGCAUAACAACUUGGACCGCAUGGUCCGAGUUUGAAAGAUGGCUUCGGCUAUCACUUUUGGAUGGUCCCGCGGCGUAUUAGCUAGAUGGUGAGGUAACGGCUCACCAUGGCAAUGAUACGUAGCCGACCUGAGAGGGUAAUCGGCCACAUUGGGACUGAGACACGGCCCAAACUCCUACGGGAGGCAGCAGUAGGGAAUCUUCCACAAUGGGCGAAAGUCUGAUGGAGCAACGCCGCGUGAGUGAAGAAGGGUUUCGGCUCGUAAAACUCUGUUGUUAAAGAAGAACAUAUCUGAGAGUAACUGUUCAGGUAUUGACGGUAUUUAACCAGAAAGCCACGGCUAACUACGUGCCAGCAGCCGCGGUAAUACGUAGGUGGCAAGCGUUGUCCGGAUUUAUUGGGCGUAAAGCGAGCGCAGGCGGUUUUUUAAGUCUGAUGUGAAAGCCUUCGGCUCAACCGAAGAAGUGCAUCGGAAACUGGGAAACUUGAGUGCAGAAGAGGACAGUGGAACUCCAUGUGUAGCGGUGAAAUGCGUAGAUAUAUGGAAGAACACCAGUGGCGAAGGCGGCUGUCUGGUCUGUAACUGACGCUGAGGCUCGAAAGUAUGGGUAGCAAACAGGAUUAGAUACCCUGGUAGUCCAUACCGUAAACGAUGAAUGCUAAGUGUUGGAGGGUUUCCGCCCUUCAGUGCUGCAGCUAACGCAUUAAGCAUUCCGCCUGGGGAGUACGGCCGCAAGGCUGAAACUCAAAGGAAUUGACGGGGGCCCGCACAAGCGGUGGAGCAUGUGGUUUAAUUCGAAGCUACGCGAAGAACCUUACCAGGUCUUGACAUACUAUGCAAAUCUAAGAGAUUAGACGUUCCCUUCGGGGACAUGGAUACAGGUGGUGCAUGGUUGUCGUCAGCUCGUGUCGUGAGAUGUUGGGUUAAGUCCCGCAACGAGCGCAACCCUUAUUAUCAGUUGCCAGCAUUAAGUUGGGCACUCUGGUGAGACUGCCGGUGACAAACCGGAGGAAGGUGGGGAUGACGUCAAAUCAUCAUGCCCCUUAUGACCUGGGCUACACACGUGCUACAAUGGAUGGUACAACGAGUUGCGAACUCGCGAGAGUAAGCUAAUCUCUUAAAGCCAUUCUCAGUUCGGAUUGUAGGCUGCAACUCGCCUACAUGAAGUCGGAAUCGCUAGUAAUCGCGGAUCAGCAUGCCGCGGUGAAUACGUUCCCGGGCCUUGUACACACCGCCCGUCACACCAUGAGAGUUUGUAACACCCAAAGUCGGUGGGGUAACCUUUUAGGAACCAGCCGCCUAAGGUGGGACAGAUGAUUAGGGUG
rnacentral:rRNA from 1 species